rnacentral:lncRNA from 1 species
UCUCCUCUGUUUUCUUUUUGUGUAAAUUUUAUUUUGAGCUCACACUUUAUUACUAUAAAAUAGAUUCAAGAAUUUCAGGAGCAAAAAGUGAGUUUCAACAAGAUGUGUUGUAGCCUUUCAUAUGGUAUGCGAUAGUUCUCUCUUUCUCCAUUAAUUCUAUGCUCUUCAAUGUCAAAGAACUCUUGAUCUUGUUAUAGAGCACAUCUUACCUUAAUUACAUCUCGUUGAAUGCGCAGAUGAUCAUUUGUGAUGGUACUACUAGCCAUGGAAAGGCUCACUCAGAUGAAGUCACUAAUUGUUAUAAAAAAUUCCAUGUGCUUGACCUUAGCAAGAGUUGGUCUGAUCAUUAUGACAAGGUAAAUUAUGCAGUUCUUCCUCACCACAAAUAUCAGUAAAUCACCAUGUAGUCCCAGUGAUUUACGAACAUAUAUAAUACAUUAAGAUUCUGUACAUGGACUCAUUUUUUUGCCCUUAUGGUGAUAUGAAUGGGAUUGGAAAAUAGUGUACGCUUUCUUGAUCAUCAUGUUGAUUGUACCUUGUUGCCCUUUCCAUAUUAAAAUAUAGUUUCACCAUCAGAUUCACUCUAAUUAGUUUCUACUGCCAUUACACACUGAACCUCAAACAAAAUGAAGUUGCUUGACCAUCUUAUGAACUACUUCAUCUGAAAGAGUUUUAAUCUGGAUCACCAUUUCACAGGAGAACAACAACUAUUUUCAAGUGAAACUGUUAAUAAUCAUAUAAGCUGAACAACUUGAAUUCUGUUUCAUUCAGUUUGUUUGAGAUACGGUUCACGCAUGGCCUUAAAUUUCUCAACCAUCUUGUCUCGAGGUGGCCAGCAGUCUUUUAUUACUGGAUCAUCAGAAAAGUUAUUCAUCCACGCUGAUAAUAGUGGGAACUUCUCUGCAUCUACUAAUUUCAGGUCAAUUAUCUCUUCCAGUAUGCUGAUCAAGUUGCUCAUCCACCCAAAUGCAAGAUCAAGAUAACCAAU